CGGGAAACCGAUGCUAAUACCGCAUAGACCACGAUAGCACAUGCUAAUGAGGUCAAAGGAGCAAUCCGCUUAUGGAGGGGCUCGCGUCCCAUUAGGUAGAUGGUGAGGUAACGGCCCACCAUGCCGACGAUGGGUAGCCGGACUGAGAGGUUGAACGGCCACACUGGGACUGAGACACGGCCCAGACUCCUACGGGAGGCAGCAGUGGGGAAUAUUGGGCAAUGGGGGAAACCCUGACCCAGCAACGCCGCGUGAAGGAAGAAGGUUUUCGGAUUGUAAACUUCUGUCCUAAGGGAAGAAAGAAAUGACGGUACCUUAGGAGGAAGCCCCGG
rnacentral:rRNA from 1 species